rnacentral:rRNA from 1 species
CCAGACUCCUACGGGAGGCAGCAGUGGGGAAUAUUGCACAAUGGGGGAAACCCUGAUGCAGCGACGCCGCGUGGGUGACGAAGUAUUUCGGUAUGUAAAGCCCUAUCAGCAGGGAAGAAGAUGACAGUACCUGACUAAGAAGCCCCGGCUAACUACGUGCCAGCAGCCGCGGUAAUACGUAGGGGGCAAGCGUUAUCCGGAUUUACUGGGUGUAAAGGGAGCGUAGGUGGCAUGGCAAGCCAGAAGUGAAAACCCGGGGCUUAACCCCGCGGAUUGCUUUUGGAACUGUCAGGCUGGAGUGCAGGAGGGGCAGGCGGAAUUCCUGGUGUAGCGGUGAAAUGCGUAGAUAUCAGGAGGAACACCAGUGGCGAAGGCGGCUUACUGGACUGUAACUGACGUUGAGGCUCGAAAGCGUGGGGAGCAAACAGGAUUAGAUACCCCUGUA